UACGUAGGGGGCAAGCGUUGUCCGGAAUCAUUGGGCGUAAAGAGCGUGUAGGCGGCCCGAUAAGUCCGCUGUGAAAGUCCAGGGCUCAACCCUGGGAUGCCGGUGGAUACUGUCGGGCUCGAGUCCGGAAGAGGAGUGUGGAACUCCUGGUGUAGCGGUGAAAUGCGCAGAUAUCAGGAGGAACACCAAUGGCGAAGGCAGCUCUCUGGGACGGUACUGACGCUGAGACGCGAAAGCGUGGGGAGCAAACAGG
rnacentral:rRNA from 1 species